rnacentral:lncRNA from 1 species
CAAAGAAAGAUGACUCCAAUUUAUUGUCUUGAAACUACAAAAAUGCUUGUUUUUGGCCCCUUUUUUGCCCUUUAUUCCUAGACUGUUUGCCCCAUAACCCUUAAAAUAUAUCUCAACCUUCUACUUAUGGUAUUAAACAUUGUGGUACAAUUUCAGAACAAUUGAAAUAUUUAUACACAACUUAUUGUCCUGACACUAGAUAAAUGCUUGUUUUGGACCCCUUUGGACCCCUAAUUCCUUAACCUUAGGGACCAUAACCCCCAAAAUCAAUCCAAAGCUUCCUUUUGUGGUUAUAAACAUUGUGUUAAAAUUUUAUUGAUUUCUAUUUACUUAUACUAAAGUUGUCCUGACACUAGAUAAAUGCUUGUUUUGGGCCCCUUAGUCCUAAACCUUAGGGACCAUAACCCCCAAAAUCAUUCCAAAGCUUCCUUUCGUG